AACUAACGCUGGCGGCGUGCCUAACACAUGCAAGUCGUACGAGAAAGUUGGCUUCGGCCGAUGAGUAAAGUGGCGCACGGGUGAGUAAUGCGUGGAUAAUCUGCCCUUUAGUUGGGAAUAACGUACCGAAAGGUGCGCUAAUACCUGAUAAUACUGCAUAACUACUGUUGUAUAGUCAAAGAAGGCCUCUGUUUACAAGCUUUUGCUGAAGGAUGAGUCCGCGUACCAUUAGCUGGUUGGUGGGGUAAUGGCCUACCAAGGCUACGAUGGUUAGCUGGUCUGAGAGGAUGAUCAGCCACACUGGAACUGAGACACGGUCCAGACUCCUACGGGAGGCAGCAGUGAGGAAUAUUGCGCAAUGGGGGCAACCCUGACGCAGCAACGCCGCGUGAGUGAGGAAGGUUUUCGGACCGUAAAGCUCUGUCGAGCGGGAAGAAAUGUAUCAUGGCUAAUAUCCAUGAUACUUGACGGUACCGCUAAAGG
rnacentral:rRNA from 1 species